GACGAACGCUGGCGGCGUGCUUAAUACAUGCAAGUCGAACGGAAAGGCCCUGCUUUUGUGGGGUGCUCGUGUGGCGAACGGGUGAGUAACACGCGAGUAACCUGCCCUUGACUUUGGGAUAAAUUCUGGAAACUGGGGAUCUUACCGGAUAGGAGCUUCUGCUGCAUGGUGGUGGUUGGAAAGUUUCGGCGGUUGGGGAUAGUCUCGCGGCUUAUCCGCUUGAUAGGCGGGUAGUGGCUUACCACGGCUUUGACGGGUAGCCGGCAUGAGAGGGUGACCGGCCACAAUGGUACUGCGAUACGGCCCAGACUCCUACGGGAGGCAGCAGUGGGGAGUAUUGCAGAAUGGGCGGAAGCCUGAUGCAGCAAUGCCGCGAGCGUGAUGACGUCCUUCGGGUUGUAAACCGCUUUCGCCGGUGACGAAGCGUGAGUGACGGUAAUGGGUAAAGAAGCACCGGCUAACUACGUG
rnacentral:rRNA from 1 species